UACAAAGUUUAGUUGGCAACUUGAAUUUGCGUUUCAAUCUUGCAAUGGAAACUCUGAGAGAGUUUAUGGCUCUACUUCUAUUCAUCUAUUUAGCCACCGGCGAGGUGGUGAAUCUUAAUGUGAAUCAUAGUCCCGAUGAUCGACCUCGUCAUAUGCGUCCACACAAUUUACAUAGACCCCCCCUAUGAUGGCUAUGAGUGGUAUAAAAAUUAUCCCAGAGACUAAAGAAAGUAGUGAAAUGGAAACAUAAUGACGGAUUCCAAGGUCCCUAAGUGUAAAAAGUGUUUGUAGUUUCUUACUUUAUAAAAAACAAAAAUUUUUCAAUAGCAGAAAAAUGAUG